rnacentral:lncRNA from 1 species
GGAAUGACCAGAUCAGAGACAAAUACGACAAUUUGCUCAGACCCAUUUUUGGCUGGCCAAAUCAUGGUACCAUCUAUGACCACAGGAAUACCAGAUAUAAUGGCCCUAACAGAUAUCUAUAGUGACAACAUUACUUCGCCACGGGUGACCCCUACAGAUAGUGCGACACCACUCUCGUACUGCUGAGAGAGGUCCUCUUACGUCUUUUCAGACCAGAUAGGGAAGUGAGAAAUAGAUACUCUGAAGAGUAAGGAGAACAGAUAUCCCUUAGAGAUAAAAAGCCUAACGAGACACUUGAUGCAAUAUGUAUGUCAAUAUGGAUACACUUCGGACCAUACAGGCUUCAUUCCAAUUUUUUUUCUUUUUUUAUAU